rnacentral:rRNA from 1 species
AACGCGAAGAACCUUACCUAGACUUGACAUCCCGGUGACCGCUCUGGAAACAGAGUUUUCCCUUCGGGGACACCGGUGACAGGUGGUGCAUGGUUGUCGUCAGCUCGUGUCGUGAGAUGUUGGGUUAAGUCCCGCAACGAGCGCGACCCUUAUUGUUAGUUGCCAUCAUUAAGUUGGGCACUCUAGCGAGACUGCCCGGGUUAACCGGGAGGAAGGUGGGGAUGACGUCAAAUCAUCAUGCCCCUUAUGUCUAGGGCUACACACGUGCUACAAUGGUCGGUACAAUAAGACGCAAGCCCGCGAGGGGGAGCAAAACUGGAAAACCGAUCUCAGUUCGGAUUGUAGGCUGAAACUCGCCUACAUGAAGCUGGAGUUGCUAGUAAUCGCGAAUCAGCAUGUCGCGGUGAAUACGUUCCCGGGUCUUGUACACACCG